CAAGGCCAAACAUUCAAGGGUAUGUAAACUUUUGAUCAGGGCCAUUUGAGUGAUUUCUGUUAUCAUUAUGAUUUAAAAAGGAGCCAAACAACUUUGUGAUAAUAAAUGGCUUCAUAUGAUCACUAAAAGUAAGCUACUUUGAUCGAUAGGUUUGUGUAAAAAAUAAAUCGAUAAUUAAAACUUUACUAACUUUAAAACAAAUCACUUUCUGCCAGCAGUCAAUGCAUCACAUAGUUUUCAUGUGACGCAAGCGCAUCGGCGUGUUCACGUGAGAAGUCGGAAGCUGCGCUUGGUUUACAACAGGAAGGAAGUCACGCAAGAGUUCUGUAAUUUCAACCAGCAUCUCAGAGCUGGACAAAAGCAACAAUUUAAAGUAAAAAAAAUCGAUUAUCGAUUUGUUUCUUACACAAACCUGUCGACUUGCUUCAGAUGACAUUAAUUGAUCAAAUGGAGUCGUGUGGAUUAAUUUUAUGCUGCCUAAAUGUGCCUUUUGUACAGUCAAACUUUGGUAGCCGUUUCCUUGCAUUGUAUGGACAUACAGAGCUUAAAUGUGCUUAUAAAAAACUUCAAUUCGGUUCUGCUGUGGAAGGAAAGACAUACAUAUCUGAGAUGGCUUAAAAGUGAGCAAGUGUAAGGACAGUGAAAUUGUUGCACUGUUAGUUUGACAGCAACUAUAUAUGGAGCCAAGCAGCAUUCAAAUCAAACAUCACUUGACAGUGCAAGCCCAUCCUCAACCAAAGCACAAGCACCAGUCUUCACCACAAUGCUUUCUCUCCCCAUUGCAGGAUUACCUGCUUGCUGGCAUUCUCUCCUAUCACUCUGUGAGGUGAAGGUGAUGAUGACUGACAGUCUGAGAUACUGUCUGUUUUGUCAUCUUAAGCAACAUCAUGGAAUCACUCAACUUGCAGCUGAGCAGCAAAGUGAGGACUUUGAAAAAUUGAGGACUUCAAAGCAAUCUACAUGAGUAAAGCAUGAUAGUUUUAAUUAUUUAAUUGAAUUGCCCAUGCAAAAGUCACUUCCAUUUUACUUGGGUGUUCUGGGUGAUUUCCAGGGCAUUACUAGAUGGUGGAGUGUUGAUGAUGAUGUUUUGGGUGGUUGCUAUUAAGCCCAAGUCAAUAAGCCGUCCUCCAUGUCUCUAUGAUAUUAUCGUCUCUAGGUAUGAAUCAGGCCCUUCCUUCAAUGUAAAUCCAUGGGAUUUUUUUUGCUGUUUUAAAUUGUAAGUUUCAUAGCUUAAAAACAUAUUAACACACUUCUCCUCAACAAGCUGCAUGAUUUGAGGUGUCAUGCAUGCCUGUAGCACUAAGGUUGCAUGCUGAAGUUUAAUAUGUAGGGUUAGGGGUGUGUUCAGUGAUGGUUGCAUGCACCACUAAUUACUAUCAAAGUGAAUAAUAUACAGUAUAGAAUGUAUACAUACAUUACAUACUGUAUACUGUACACAUAUAAGAAUGCCAUAGCUUAACACUUUUUGGUUAAAACCUGGUUUUGUGGAAGAUCACUAAAGACUGAACCUUAUUUUAUUCCUUUUAACAUUCCAUAUCCAAGACAGUGUGUGCCCCACUUUGAGAUAGAGCAGAUGGUUCAUAGAGAUUGCACAGCUGAGUUAUCAGCACCAAUCAUUCACCCAAGUGUGAAUGCUAGACGUGUGGCACAAUGCAAGAAGACACACACAGUGUCUCCUUAGCAGCAAACCUGGGCAACCUCUGUGAACAGGCUUGACGGAUGCUCUACUCACAGAGCGAAAGCGCCAGCAGGUUUUGUCUUUUUUUAGAAAUUCAACAGAGAUACAAGUUCUACACAUAUUUUGUUAUCAUUUAAGUCAUUAUUUAAAAUAUCUUUACAAAAUCUAAGGCAAUGUUUAAAAAGACCUUGAGUUUGUGGCUUUUAGUCCUUCAUCAUCUAGUAUCGUGUACCACAAAACGCUGACAAAAUUCACAUUUAGCAGAUACAGUAUACACAUUUAAAAUUUACGGUACUUAUAUUCAGAGAAAAGUAACCAAAAAAAAAGUAUGACUCAUGUUGCACUACCCAGAUUUUUGCCCAAUCAAAUGCUCUCUAGAAUGAGAAUGUCCCUCCCGCUAAUACCACAUAUAAUCGAAUAGCACAUGGAAAAUCAGGCCUUACAUCCCAAAUGGGAUAAAUCAGCCUCCGAAGGGAGAACAAUCAUGGCAGCCACAUUGUAGAGUCGUUCCAAACUAAAGUGCUCAAAAAUAAAAGGCCCUUUAAAAUCAGUGUUUUCGAAGGGUUUAACUGAAGGACACUUCGCUCCCAAAUGGACUGAAACCAGACCAUAUGUCAUUAAUCUGCACAAGGUUUGCAGUUAUAUCACGAAUUAAACUAGCUGCACCUGCAAACACAUUUUGGUUCUGUAAACCUGUGACAAACCCUUUAUCUCUGGAUAGAUUACUUCUACAUCGUAAUCUGGUACUGAUUACAAAUUACAUGAAUAAAAUUGUAGCCAGUAACGUAAUCUCUUAAUUUAAAAAAUAAUCUAAUCUGAAUGCUUUUUGAUUACUUUUGGAUUACUUCUGACCUAAUUCUUGUUUAUUUUAUGUCACAUGAAUUUGACUAGGAUUUGACUAGGACCAUUUGGACAUAAUGUUACUUAAAUACAUUAAAGAAAACAUACUUAAUGGGUCAAAAUAUGAGAAUUGAUAUGAUUGUUUUAAGUGUGUGUUUUACUGGCUAUUUGCCUGUUUCUGAGUGAAAUAAAAAGAUACUUAAAAGUACUACUUGGCAUUACAAAUGCCAUCCAUGUGUGGUAACAUCAGACCAGUUAUAUUUGUGAAUCAACGUUACAAAAAAGUUGUCUCAAAAGUUGUCACAAAAACUAAAGCGCAUUCAUAUGCAUUUCUGAAGCUGAGUACAAAAGCAAUUUAAAAAAAUUUAACUUUACCACACAAAUGCAAUCAGCUGAGCAUAAGGUGUGAAUUAGCGCUCCAUAUUUAGUAUAAUUAUAGCCACCUGGUUGAUGGCUGGUAUCAGGUCUGUGUGUGCAGUUCCACAAUACACACAACCCCUUACGAAAACACUCAGAGACUUACCACCAUAUAACAGCUCUAGGUUGAUUUAGAAUGAAACUUUUUAAAUAUUUAAAAAGAAGGCAUUAAUAAAUUAUGAAAAAUUUACAGUUGCCUGAUUAAUAUGUAACAUGUAAUUCAUAAAAAGUAACUGUAAUCUUUUUUUAUUUUAAAAUUUAUUUUAAAAUGUUUUUAAAUCGAAUUACUUAUAAAGUUCAUAUUUUUGUAAUCCGAUUACAUAAUACAGAUUGCAUGUAAUAUGUAACUUGUCAGCACUGUUUAUAAAAGCCUUUAAUUAAUCAGUGUAACCUAUUUAAACCAAUGGCUUUCUGUUUUACUUUUGUUUGAAAUAGAAUAAUGUUUAAAUAAAAGAGUUCAGAUUAAAUAAAUACAUACAAUUUGAAUGUACAUUUCUUUACUUCUUUACUCUGCAAAACAUGAGGCUUAAACAUUUUUCAUAAAUAAUAAAAAAACAUUUAUUUUUGGUUUGGAUUCUAAAAGUUAACAGUUAGUCAAGUAUAAAUAUUUCUGAUUUAUGAACUUAUUUUCAUUGGCGUCAGUGUUUGUGCGACAGUAUCAGUGGCUCCUUGGAAACAGCUGCUUAGAAAGAAGAUGUUAAGGUGUGUUCUGAAUAUAAUAACAAUAUAAUUACCAUUAUAUUGGCUAUUUAGAAAAAGGUGGACAAGCUCUUUGAUAUGACCAGUCUAACUAUUGGUAUUAACAGGAAAUAUGAAGCCAGGAAAGAAAACUGCACUUGAUAAGCAAAUUUGUAAAAUUUUUAGAAAAAUGUAUUUGAUCCGACACAGAAACAUUUCGUUUUUUCAGUGUCCAAGGUUUUUCCCAUUAAUCGUUUCAGGUCUGCACUAAAAACAAGUAUUCAUAUUGCUCAUUUUGUGCCAUGGGUGUACAGUACGACCUUGAUUUGUCAUUUAAAGUCUUGUAUGGACAUCUGGAAUGCAUAGCAAAGGACAGUAGCAUGCACAGACCUCAGCAGAGACAGACGUGGAAGAAUAAAAAAGGCACAUAAUUUUUUUCUUGUCUCAUAAUUCUUUUUACUUUUCUCAUCUCUGCUCCCUUACUUUUUUAUUUCAUCUCUGCUGCUUCCACUCUGACCUCAUCACCCUCUUUAUACAACUGACACUUAUAUUAUUUAUCUUCAUUUCUUUUCACAUUAACAUAAUGUUAUUUACUGUAUUAUGUCAUUAAUAUUUAGGACCUUAUAGAAAUAAUGUGGCUGAACCAUGGUACAAUGAUGGUGUCAGAAUGGUUUUGAAUUGUUAUCAUGGUAGCCUACAUGUCCAAAAAAUGAUAAUACCAUGGUAUUUUUCUGAAAAUGAUUAGUCUAAGCUUAUUAGUUUAAACAAAAAUCAAACCGGCUUUGGCUGAAUCAGACAUCUCCUUCAGUUUGUCAAUAUACUGUAAAAGACAUAUUAAAUUUAUAUCACUGAAAGCGACUUGACCGCUUCCAUUUUAAUUAAUAAAUCUGUCUACACUACAGGUGUGCGAUGUUGGAAAUAUGGUUGUAAUCGAGUAUUAUUCUUUUGAUGUACUUACAACACAAUACAUAGAGUGGACUUUUUAUCUGACCUGUUACUGACCUGUAACGCCACUUUGAUGUUCCGGGGCGAAUUCAAAACAACAUUUUUGCUCCCUUGAAGGGCACUGCUGCGAGAAGGGAUGCUACUCGAAAGCUUGUUCAAAAUGAAAGUGAGAAAAUUCAUCUUUCUUCAA